rnacentral:rRNA from 1 species
AACGAACGCUGGCGGCAUGCCUAACACAUGCAAGUCGAACGAGACCUUCGGGUCUAGUGGCGCACGGGUGCGUAACGCGUGGGAACCUGCCCUUAGGUUCGGAAUAACUCCCCGAAAGGGGUGCUAAUACCGGAUAAUGUCUUCGGACCAAAGAUUUAUCGCCUUUGGAUGGGCCCGCGUUGGAUUAGCUAGUUGGUAGGGUAAAAGCCUACCAAGGCGACGAUCCAUAGCUGGUCUGAGAGGAUGAUCAGCCACACUGGGACUGAGACACGGCCCAGACUCCUGCGGGGGGCAGCAGGGGGGAAUAGUGGAAAAUGGGCGAAAGCCUGAUCCAGCAAUGCCGCGGGAGGUAUGAAGGCCUUAGGGUUUAAAAGCUCUUUUACCCGGGAUGAAAAAGACAGUCCCGGGAGAAAAAGCCCCGGCUAACUCCG